rnacentral:rRNA from 1 species
AAAGGAUCUAUUAAAUAAAUUAAUAUAUUAGUAUUGUACGGUAUGUGUUGCAAUACAUAUAUAAAAUAUUUUUAUAGGGGUGAUAGGCUUGUCAAAUUUUAUAAUAUCUUGAUGAUUAUUAAAAGUAUUUAGUACUUAUAACAAUUAAUAAGUGAUGAGAUUUAUUAAGAAAAUAAAUUUUUAUAUAAUUUUUUUUAGGUGAUGAAUUAAUUUUUACACGUAUUUAUUAAAUAAUACUAGUAAAGCAUUUGUUUAUUUUAUUUAAUAAUUAAUAUAAGCUAAUUAUUGGUUUAUUUUUAUAAUGUUAAUAUUAGUAAUUUAUGUAACAUAAACUUAUUUAAGGAACUCGGCAAAUAAAUACUUUAUUCAACUGUUUAUCAAAAACAUAGCUUAAUGGUGCUUAAUAUUAGGUAGUUUCUGCUCAAUGAUUAAUUAAAUAGCCGCAGUACUUUGACUGUGCGAAGGUAGCAUAAUAAAUUGACUUAUAAUUGAAGUCGGGAAUGAAUGAAUUAAUGGAUAAAAACUGUCUUAAAUAAGUAGUAAUUAAUUUUCUUAGUAAGUGAAAAUUCUUACAAUGUGUUUUAUUAGACGAGAAGACCCUUGAAAUUUUAAGAAUAAUGUAUAUUAAAUACAUAUAGUUUUUGUUGGGGCGACAGAUUUACAAUAUAACUAGAUUUGUUUUAAUAUUAAAUAAUACAAAUUUUAUUAAUAAAAAGUAAAUUACUCAAGGGAUAACAGCAUAAUUUAUUAAUAAGUUUGUGACCUCGAUGUUGGACUAGGAAUUUUUGAGUUUAGAAGAUUCAAAAUUAAGUUCUGUUCGAACUAUUUUUCCUACAUGA